UAUCAGAACAAACUUCCUUUGCUUGAGUUGAACUCCUUCCCCACGUUUCCAAAGUUUCAAAUAUAUAAACCCUUAGGAAAAAGAUGCAGCCUCUCAGAAUGUGGAAUCAUGAGAAGGUGAGUGUUGAACAAGAUGGAGAAGCAGGAUGUUAUCAGUUUUGGGACAAGUACCAGGCCAGAUUACUCUCAAUCAUAAUACAUUUAUACAAGAACUCGCUCACACACAACUUUUGUGCCUAAGUAUUGAUUGUAAAAGUUGUAUAAAUGAAGAUAUUCUUGCAAA